ACAAUUCCAGAUGAGAUUUGGGUGCGACACAGAGCCAGACCGUCUCAAUUGCACCCUGGAUGUGCUGACCCCUGUGAUUUCCCCACGUGUGGGACACCCGGCUGCAUACUUUGUGGUAGUGGGGGACUGCACUCAUACUUUCCCCUG
rnacentral:snRNA from 1 species